rnacentral:rRNA from 1 species
AGUCAACAUGCCCAGGGGACGUGGAUAACCUCGGGAAACUGAGGAUAAACCGCGAUAGGUCAUCACUUCUGGAAUGGGUAAUGACUUAAAUCUAUAUGGCCCCUGGAUUGGACUGCGGCCGAUCAGGCUGUUGGUGAGGUAAUGGCCCACCAAACCUGUAACCGGUACGGGCUCUGAGAGGAGGAGCCCGGAGAUGGGCACUGAGACAAGGGCCCAGGCCCUAUGGGGCGCAGCAGGCGCGAAACCUCUGCAAUAGGCGAAAGCUUGACAGGGUUACUCUGAGUGAUUUCCGUUAAGGAGAUCUUUUGGCACCUCUAAAAAUGGUGCAGAAUAAGGGGUGGGCAAGUCUGGUGUCAGCCGCCGCGGUAAUACCAGCACCCCGAGUGGUCGGGACGUUUAUUGGGCCUAAAGCAUCCGUAGCCGGUUCUACAAGUCUUCCGUUAAAUCCACCUGCUUAACAGAUGGGCUGCGGAAGAUACUAUAGGGCUAGGAGGCGGGAGAGGCAAGCGGUACUCGAUGGGUAGGGGUAAAAUCCGUUGAUCCAUUGAAGACCACCAGUGGCGAAGGCGGCUUGCCAGAACGCGCUCGACGGUGAGGGAUGAAAGCUGGGGGAGCAAACCGGAUUAGAUACCCGGGUAGUCCCAGCUGUAAACGAUGCAGACUCGGUGAUGAGUUGGC